AUGCGCCUGGUUUCUCUAAUGGUACCUGAUGUUAAAUCCUAUCAUCAACUAGAAAGAGAGGUGAAUCCUUCCAGGAUGUCUUGUGAGCACCUAACAAGCAGGAAGAGAGAUAAGAACAGCAGUGGUCCUAACAGCUCCUUAGGGUGUGAGCAUGGAUUCCCCACACAGUCCUGCCUUCCAAGGCUUCCUCCAUUCUGUUCCCAGCACUGAGCAGCAGGCAAUGGGCCCCUGGAGCCCUCCAGACUAGGGAAGAACUGUCCCCGGGGGCCCAGCAGGCGUCCUUUGAGUCCACCUGUCACAAGCCGGGCUGACAGACACAGCUUGUACGCAGGCAACCUCUUAAGGUGAGGGAAGGAAAGUCAGGCCACAGGUGAGCUGGACCUGAUUCCCAUCCAUCUAAGGGCAGAGGGCCAAGACAGGUACUUUCGCCAGCUCUAUAACCAGCACUUACGAGGCUCUAGAGUCAGACAUGGGUUCAAAUACACUCUGUGUGGACACUAGACAAAUUUGUCAAACUCUCUGAAGCUAGAUUUCCUCAGCUGUAAAACAGGGAUGAUGGUAAUACCCAUUUCACAAUACACAGGCUUGGGGGAGGAUUAAACUGGUUGGCAAGACCCCUCCUAUUUUCUGAACCAGUGCUGUACUCAGAACUGGGCAAGUACUCUCAUUAGCACCUGCAUUAUAGAUCCAGCACCUGGAAAGCCCUGAGAAACCCUUUCUCCAGGAGCUGCCCCCCUGCUGCCCCCAGCCGUGCUCAGACUCCUCCCUUCAUUCUAAUCCUAUGAUCCCUCACAAGACAUGUCCCAAGUUCUAGUCUCCAGCCAAGCUUAUCUAUAGGGGCAAGAUGAUGACCCUGAAUCUAAGGAUGCCCAAGCACCCCCAGGCUUGAGGUCCCCACUGCUCCCAGCCCCAAGUGGGUUCCUUGGCCCGGCAGGGAAGGGGAAUCCUUGGAAGAGGAGCUGCGAAAGGUAAAAUGGGCCCUCACCCCAGGAUUUUUCUCACCAUCUGUCUUGCUUGGCGUGGAUGGGGCCUCACCCAUCAGGAGUGAGACCAGCUCCUUCCUUCCCAGCCAGCCAGCCAUCCCUCACCCACCCUUUCUCUCCCUCUUUCUCAGCUAGCCAGUCACACCACAGGGCUUGCUCUUAAUUAGCCUAACAAAACUCAGUCACCAGGGGAAGUCCUUGAAGUUGAGGAUUUCAACAAAACUAAA
rnacentral:lncRNA from 12 species